UGAUUGUAUUUUAUACUUUUAUAAUUACAUAUUUCGCCAAGACUAUACUAUAAAAAAUAUUAACAAAGACAAACAAUAUUUAAUUUAUUCUCAAUUUGACAACAGACGUCGAGAACAAAAGUUUGACAAUAAAUAGUAUGCAUGCGUGUGUGGGUCAAAUACAUGGUAUGUAGUGUGUGUAACGUUUUCUUUAUUGAUUUAUGUAUAUAUUAUACAUUAUUAAAAAAAAAAUUAGCAUUGUGCACUUCUUCUCUAUAAUCUCUUUAUGUGUGGAAAAUUUCAUACUCCUCCGUCCGCGCAAUUUUCGUAAAAAGGCACACAAAGUUUUUGCUUCACGUAUUAAUAUAUAAAUAUAUUAUGCGUUUAAUAUACUCACGACAAUUGCAAGGAUAUGAUAGUUACCUACAAACAUCAUUGUUUCAUUAUUGUGUACAGAGAAUUCCUGUUUGUGUAGUGAUUAAAUGAUUUUGUGUUUAUUGUUAAUCUUUAUUGUCGUUUUGGCGAGUUUUCUUGCAGCGAUAGCGCCUCAUGAUUCCCCAGUCGUCGAAGGGUUACUAGAGCCCACAGAUAUAAAGAUAAUUCUGAAACACGAUAUGGGGCUCUUUAUAGUGUUGUAAUAUUACUAUCACACCGCCCAGAUAAGAACGCAAGGAUGAUUCGCAAAAAAAAAUAGUAUGAUGGUAUACCGAUCCGUGAAUUUGCACUAGAACCGAUUUACAACGGAAUGAAGUCGGGCUUGUUUAAUGGAGGCGUUUAUAGCUGUAAUUAAGAAGCUUGUUAAUUUAAUUCACAAUAUAUUAGAAGCUGUUAUAAGAGGUUUGAUCGAGGCCGUCAUUAAAGGGGCUGUUUGCAUCGCUGCUGUUACCUUUGUUUCCAUGGGAUACUUUGGUUUGAGAUGUAAAAUUUACGGAGGCGAACUGUGUUUGAGUGAAACUCUGUGGAAUUUGGCCUUCGUAGCGGGAACUACAGUGGCUUUGUGCGCCCUGUAUAUUGUUUACACGAAGUUGUUUUGAUACAUUAUUGCUAUCGAAUAUCGAAUAUUAAUUAAUGAUUAAACACAUUAUGAUUAAA